rnacentral:rRNA from 1 species
GACAGAGGGGGCAAGCGUUGCUCGGAAUUACUGGGCGUAAAGCGUGCGCAGGCGGCUAUGCAAGACAGAUGUGAAAUCCCCGGGCUCAACCUGGGAACUGCAUUUGUGACUGCAUGGCUAGAGUACGGUAGAGGGGGAUGGAAUUCCGCGUGUAGCAGUGAAAUGCGUAGAUAUGCGGAGGAACACCGAUGGCGAAGGCAAUCCCCUGGACCUGUACUGACGCUCAUGCACGAAAGCGUGGGGAGCAAACAGG